AAAAAAAAAUUGAUAGUGAAAAACAAUUAAUUGAAACUGUAAUUUUUUUGUUUUCGCUUACAAUUUUUUUUUUUUUUUCGGUUUCAAUCCAUUUUUCGGUUUCAAUCCACUUUUCGGUUUCAAACCAUUUUUCAGUUUCACUCUGCUGGCACUGUUUUGGUGUACGGGGGCGCGCUGGGGGGCGGGGAUUCCGACCCGCAUGUAUUUGCAUAUAUUAUAAUGCUGACCAAUGACUGGAGAAAACACUGACGACGCGGCUGCGGUCACGGACAAACUCGCACGUGUCUGUUCGGGAAUGGCAGAUGCCGAGAGGUCCAGCGUUUACAUUACCGACUAUUUCAAAGUGACAGCCUGAGGUGUUCUUCAGUAAAUUGGACUACCGGACAGGAGGAUCUGAGGCCCCACCGCAUUAUUUUUGGAUGCAGCAGCAGACUGAACCUCGACUGAAACCUGCUCCAUCAUCUCAUCUUUGCAGAUGUCCAUUUAUAAAGCAUCAACAACUCAAAGGAGCCGUCCUCAGAUUCAGACCUCAGCACCACCCAGUGACAGCAGACAGAUCAUCCUAUAUCUUCAAUCUUUGUAGUAACUCCAAAAUUAACUGAAGAAAACAGUACAAAGGUUAAAGUACCACAUGUGCUGUCAGUGAAAGCUGCAGCUGUUUUAUUGAUAAAUUUAAAGACAAAAAGUCAAAAGGAUUAAUCACCCCUGUAACUGUGUCACUAUACAUCAGCAUUAACAGGACCUCAGUUUGGUGUUUCAGAAAACUGCUGAUCUCAGACCUGCACAACUUCUGUUUUAAACACUGAAUGUACUCAGCUACAUGAAGAGCACGUGAUGUUUUCUCUGACACAAUUAAAUAAAACCUGAUUAAAAGUCAAAGGUUGUUACUUGUAUUUGAACUAAAAACUUGUGAUCUGGAAUUCUUUCACUGUUUUUUGACAAUAGUGUGUUAUUUAUCAUAAAGUAAUUCAGAGUCAUUCAUACCAGAGUAACCAGUGAGCACAACAUAUAUUUAACUUUCUACAGGACUUAAAGCUAUUACUAUAGCUUAUAGCUAUAGCUAUUAACUGCACUACUGUAUAGUUCUGUGUAAAUAAUCAUUCUGUACAUAUGAUGAUUUUUAAUCCUACAACUGUUUAUAACCUGCAUAGUUCACAUUUCUGUAGUUUUUCAUAUUUAUAUCCUGUUCAUAUCCUGUACAUAGUUUGUACUCACUACAGCCUGUACAUACUUAUAGUUAUAGAAUAUUCACAACAUACUUCAUACCGUGUACAUUAUAACAUACCAUAAUAGACCCAUUUCUGUAAUAUACUUACAUAUCUAUAUUAUUGCUAAUAUAUAUUGUAAUAUAUCUAUAUCAUGGCUAAAGCACUUCUGGAUGGAUGCAAACUGCAUUUCGUUGCCCUGUACCUGUGCAUGUGCAAUGACAACAAAGUUGAAUUCUAUUCUAUUAAAAGUCCAGACCCUCUGAGGAUUAUCUGAGUACUUCUAACAUUACACAAAGCAAAGGUCUCCAUCAGUGUUCAUGAAAUGCUGGGUUUAUCCUUCUUGUGAGGGAGCUGCUGGUGAAGAUCACGAGCCCUGCUUGAUCCCGGCGAUGAGUUUCAGUCUUCCUGGUGUUUCUGAAAUGAUUCCUCUCACUGUGGGUCAACAGAACUUCUGGCACAGGACAGCUGUAAUGAAAGAAAUUGAAGU
ensembl:lncRNA